AGGGCGGCUGCCUCACAAUCGUCCCUGUGACCCGCUUGGCACCUUUGUGAGUCAGAGGUUGAAUACAGGAAUAGCAGAUUCCGUACUGGGCUGAAACACCAGAGUUGCGGGUUCUCAAAUGGCAUGUUGUGUGGCUGCGAAGCUUCACGCAGAUUUACCGAGUUCCCCUCAGUAAUGUGAUCCAUCUUCACAGGCUUGAGAAAGGAGCAUGCCAAGGACAUCCUGCUGCUUUAGUUGGAACCUGU